GAUCUCGCCUCUGGGCUGCUCUCCCACGGAACGCGGGGCGGUGCCCUUGUCAAACAUGGCGCCGGCGGUUUCGGAGGCGAGUGCGGCGGCGCGGACUCAGCGUGCCCUCUGACCUGUUGGCAGCGGGGGGGGGGGUGCCGGUGCGCCGCUGUUGUCCCUGUGAGGGAGCGGCGCGGCGGCGGCGGCGCGGCGGCGCAGGCGAGCGGCGAGCGGCGCGAGAGGCAGCAUGACGCGGAGGCGGAGCAGGCCGAGCGGCGGCGCGGGCCGGCGGAACGGGCGCGGGCCGCGGGGCUGCAGAAGCCCCAGGCGCCCGAGCCGCAGCCGCCGCCGAGCCUGGAAGCGGGCGCGGGCGCAGGGCCCCCGGAGGCGCCCGCGGAGCCGGAUCGCGACAGCCCCAGGGAGGAGGACGAGCCCAAACUGGCUGCAGGCCCUCAGCCUGCCAAGGAAGGCAGGCCCCUGCAGGAGUCUUGGAGGGUCGGAUGCAGCGCCCGGAUGAGGAUGAGGCGUGGCGGAAGAUGCGUUUGGCUCUGCAGACACUGCAUCGGGCAGCAGGGGACUCUGGGAGGCUGGUGCAGCCUGAAGGCAUGGCUCUUGACAGCCUUCUAGUAGAAUCUCUGGAGUUGUGCAUGUGCUUGCUGCUUGGGAUGCCCAAAACAUGGUGACCCAGGGAAAGCUGAGACAGAAGCUCUUCAGAACCCAGUCUUAAUGGUUGACUAUUUCCAGAAAGUAAGGUGGAGAAAGCAAGUAGCCUCUACAGCAGUGGUUCUCAACCUUCCUGAUGCUGCUGCCCUUUGGUUCAGUUCCUCAUGUUGAAGUGACGCCCCAACCAUAAUUUUUUUUUUUUUUUUUGGUUUUUCAAGACAGGGUUUCUCUGUGUAGCUUUGGAGCCUGUCCUGGCACUCGCUCUGCAGUCCAGGCUGGCCUGGAACUCACAGAGAUCUGCCUGCCUCUGCCUCCCGAAUGCUGGGAUUAAAGGCGUGCGUCACCAACGCCCGGCUCCAUAAAAUUAUUUUUGUUGCUACUUCAUAACUGUAAUUUUGCUGGUCAUAAAUCAUAAUGUAAAUAUCUGAUAUGCAGGAUACCUGAUAUUCGACCCUAUGAAAAGGGUCGUCGCCCCCACCACCACCACCACCAAAAGGGGUUGAAACCCAGAGGUUGAGAACCACUGGUCUACAAGGGAGGCAAGCCCUGCCUGGACUCACUUGGAGAACAGUCAUGAGUCAAGCUGAUGUUCCACUGCAAGUGGUGUGGGCAUUGAGGAGUCAAUGGAUGAUGUGAAGUAGGAAGGCAGACUUGACGUCAUGAGCCCUCUGUGAUGCUGUGUGAGGAAGUGAUUGCUCUCUUUAGUCCGUGUCGCCCUCACCGUAGGCAAACUAAUGGCCAGAUCCUUUGUUCUUUGUUCAACCCUAUCCCAGACCUGCUAGGGCAGGAGCCCACCCAGGAUCCACUUUUGGAUUGUUCUAGGAGAUUCUGAGUGUGGCUGGGUCUGGGAGCUGCUAAACUGGGGAAGCCUAGCAUUGUGUGUGUAUGUGGGGGGGUGGGUGUUUUGCUUUUUUAAGGGGCUGAAGGCUUGAGGAUAUAGCUCAAUGGUAGAAAACUUGCCUAAGGUUUAAGGACUUGGGUUUGAUCCCUAACAUCAUUUUAAAAAACUAAAACAGGUGAGAAAAUUGGCUCUGGGGUUAAGAACACUUGCUGCUCUUUUAGAGAUCUGGGUUCAAUUCCCAGCACCCACAUGGUAACUCAUAACUGCAACACCAGUUCCAAGGAAUCCAACACCUUCUUUUGGCUUCCGUGGGCACCAGACAUGAAGGUGGUGCACAUGCAGGCAAAACAUUCCUACAUGUACACACUCACACAAACCAGCCAACCCUGCCUUCCUCCACGUCUAAGGUUGUUGGUUCAUUAAUAAUAUUCAACUGCUAGUCUUCUGUUGUAUAUUAGCCUGCUAUGUGCCUCUGCUGAAUGUCUGGAAUACAUGAUUCUGGAACAGUGCAAAUGUCCUUGGAAAUCCCGUGGUAUUGUUGAGAUAACAGGGUUAAAAAAUUAAGAUAUGUGAGGUAAGGCCAUGCAUGGUGGUGCAUGAAUGUAAUUCCGGCACUCGAGGCAGAAUUUCUGAGAGCCCUGUUUUUUGUUUUGUGUGUUUGCUUGUUUAAGACGAGAGACCACCUCUAUUCUAGAGAAAUGUGAAAGAGCUUAGGGUAGUCCAGAAUGAAGCCCAGUUCAUUCUGACUAUGUACUUGGAUGAUUUCAUACCCAAGUUGAGUCUUUAGAACAAAAGGGAAAGGCAGUGCAUUAUGUAGCUGUGGAAAGGAGUAUAUAAUGGUUCUUCAUGGGCAGGUAAGAACUAGGGAAAGGCAAGCUUGUGUACUAGAAGGUUCUGAGUUGCGCCUUUCUAUCAUCCUCAUACGGCACGUUAGGUAGCCAUUAGCUGAGUAGCAUGAGGAACAUGUUGCAGUAUCAUAAACCAUCCGUCUCCUUAUCGUCUGGCUAAAGCUCUUGGUUCCCUUUUGAUCCCCACCCCUCUUAGGAUGAAAGAAGUAGCUAUUUUUAUUCUGAAAAAGGGUGUGGGGAAACUAAGGCAGGAAAAAAGGGCCAGAGGAACUGCAGACACCGAAGAUCUUUAUUAGGAAAUGAGGGCCAUGUUGUAGAGCAUGGGGUUCAGAGAUGCCUUGAAGGUCAUUGUUUAGUCCUCUGUCCUGUGCUGCGAGUAAUAAAUUUGGUUUGGGCAAGUCUCA
rnacentral:lncRNA from 1 species